rnacentral:rRNA from 1 species
ACACGUAGGGGCCUGACGUUGUUCGGAAUCAUUGGGCGUAAAGGGCGCGCAGGCGGCCGUCCAAGUCCGGUGUUAAAUGGUCGGGCUCAACCCGAUCAUGCGCUGGAAACUGGGCGGCUUGAGUCCCGUAGGGGAUGCCGGAAUUCCAGGUGUAGGGGUGAAAUCUGUAGAUAUCUGGAAGAACACCGAUGGCGAAGGCAGGCAUCUGGCCGGAGACCGACGCUGAGGCGCGAAGGCGCGGGGAGCGAACAGGUUUAGAUACCCUGGUAGCCCGCGCAGUAAACGAUGCGCACCAGGUGACGGGCGGCAGCGCCCGGUACCGGAGCUAACGCGAUGAGUGCGCCGCCUGGGGAGUAUGCCCGCAAGGGUGAAACUUAAAGGAAUUGACGGGG